CAGAAAAGGUAGUUUAGGUAUACUGACAGAUUGUUUAGUCGCCGGAAAAUUGCACGGCGACGAGGUCUUCUUCCCGGAAGUAGUUGGAAUGAUGCAUAGCUAUACUAUUCUCACCAAAGCUCUGAUACCAUGUGAGAAAGCACGGAAGAAGAAUAUAACUGAUAUGUAAACAUGAUACAAUGAGCCCUAUAUAUAAUACACAUAACCUAGCCUACUCCUAAUACAGUUUAGACUAGACUUCUAAUACAGUUAGACUUCUAACACGUAUGAAAGAAGCUCUAUGGGCAUAUAGGACCAUUCACCGCACGCCAACACAAGAAACUCCUUAUUCACUCGUUUAUGGAGUCGAAGCCGUCUUUCCACUUGAGCAUCAAAUACCUUUGUCACAAUUGGAUAUUCAAGAAGGGAUCACUAAUGAAGAAAAUGCUCGACUUUGAUUAGCACAGUUGGAAGCUCUUGAUGAAAAGAGAUUGGAAGCUCAACAGAGUCAUGAAUGUUAUCAAGCUCGAUUAUCUUGCGCCUUCAAUAAAAGAGUUCGCCUGAGAUCUUUUAAAGUAGGAGAUCAAGUCCUUGCCGUACGAAGACCCAUAAUUACUUCCCAUAAACCUCUAGGGAAGUUCACUUCGAAAUGGGAUGGGCCAUAUGUCGUACAACAAGCUUACUCAAGUGGGACUUACAAGCUGGUUGAUGCUGAUGGUAUGAGAAUCGGCCCUAUCAAUUGCAAGUUUUUGAAGAAGUAUUAUUCUUGAAGUCAUGACGCUCAUUGACGCACGACCCUAAACUGCAUGUUGCUACACUCCUAGACCGUAAGAGUAUAAACUAUAUACGUACCAAUAAAAAAAGAGUCCACUAGGUUAAAAAUUUUGAAAGAGGCGGCCUAGGCAAAAGUUAGGGAAAAAAAAUCACCCAGUCUGAACUACGGUAUGACUUGAUACUCUUCAUCGGGGUACGUAGGCAGCUUAGAUUUUCAUUCUAAGUUCAGUCACAUAAGUUCAAAAGAUACAUAUUGCCCCAAUUGUUGUCCGAGUGAAGUAUGGACGGAUGCUAAAUAAAGCUGAAAUGCUAUUCUCUUAUGGAACUUUGAUCAUGUUUGAAUUAAAAGGGGAAACCCUCGGUGGUAAAUUGAUAUCUUCAAGGCCUUCGGUACUCAAGUUGAAGUCCCCAAGUUGAAAUCUACAAGUUCGUCAGUCUUCAAGUUGAAGUCUCCAAAUUCGCUGAUCUUCAAGUUGAAAUAUUUAGGCCCUCUUUGUCUUAAAGUUGAAGUCUUCAAGUUCGUUGGUCUUCAAGUCCGUCGGUAUUCAAGUUGAAGUCUUCAAAUCCGCUGAUCUUCAAGUUGAAAUAUUUAGACCCUCCAAGUCUCAAAGUUGAAGUCUUCAGUUCGCCGGUCUUCAAGUUUCAGUCUUUACAUUUGUCGGUCUUAAAGUUGAAUUGUCUAAGUCUUCCGAAUAUUCGUAUUGAAGUAUGCAAAGUCCGCCAAAUCUCCCAAGUUUUCCAAAUGUAUAAGUCGAUUUCGUCUUCAAGUUGAAGCUUUAUCAUUUUCCAAUCUUAAGUGGACAUAUAAGUCCCUUUGCACCUUAAGUUGGCCUCUUCGUGGGUUUGUCUUUAAAAGGAACUAUAACUUUCCAAUCUUAAGGUGGACAUAUGAGUUCCUUUGCACCUUAAGUUGGCCUCACCAAUAAUUGGGCUAUUUUGAGAGUAAUCUCUCCGGUAGUCGGGUCAUUUUGAGAGUAAUCUCUUCAAGAAUUGGGCCGCAUUGAGAGUAAUCUCUCCAAGAAUCGGGUCUUUUUGAGAGUAAUCUCUCCAAGAAUUGAGACACAUUGAGAGUAAUCUCUCCAAGAAUCAUGCCAUUUUGAGAGUAAUCUCUCCAAGAAUUGGGCCACAUUGAGAGUAAUCUCUCCAAGAAUCAGACCAUGAAAGUAAUCUCUACGAUAGUCGGACAAGGAUGAGUACUCAUCCCCUCACAUCCCAAGACUGUCUUCUUCAUCCUCUUCGUAGGUUUGUCAUUAAAAGGAACUCUAACUUUGCAAUCCUAAGGUAGACAUAUGAGUCCCUUUGCACCUUAUGUUGGCCUUUUUGUGGAUUUGUCCAUAAUGGAACUGUAGCUUUCCAAUCUUAAGAUGGACGUAUGAGUCCCUUUGCACCUUAACUUUUCCUCUUCAUGGGUUUGUCCUUAAAAGGAACUGUAAUUUUUCAAUCUUAAUGUAGAUAUAUGAGUCCCUUUGCACCUUAAGUUGGCCUCUUCGUGAGUUGUACUUAAAAGAAACUUUUUCCAAUCUUAAGCUGGAUAUUUAAGUCCCUUUGUACCUUAAGUUGGCCUCUUUAUGGAUUGCUCACCUAUAGUGAUGUGGAUUUGGCCAUCUAUAUGUUGAUGCGGAUUUGUCCAUCUAUAUGCUUAUGCGGGUGUGUCCGUCUAUAUAUUGAUGCAGAUUGGUCCAUCUAUAUGUUGAUACGGAUUUGUCCAUCCAUAUGUUGAUGCGGGUUUGUCCAUCUAUAUGUUGAUGCGGAUUUGUCCAUUUAUAUGUUGAUGCGAAUUUAUUAUCCAUAUGUUGAUGCGGAUUUGUCUGUCUAUAUGUUGACGCGGAUUUGUCCAUCCAUCGUUGACGCGGGUUUUUCCAUCUAUAUGUUGAUACGGAUUUUUCCAUCUAUAUGUUGAUGUUUGUCCAUCCAUAUGCUGACGCGGAUUUGUCCAUCUAUAUGCUGAUGCGGAUUUGUCUAUCUAUAUGUUGAUGUUACAUUUGUCCGUCUAUAUAUUGAGGUGGAUUUCUCCGUCUAUAUAUUGAGAUGGAUAUGUCAGUCUAUAUGUUGAUGUCGAUAUGUCCAUCUAUAUUGUGAUGGGGAUUUGUCCAUCUAUAAGUUGUUAUGGAUUUUUUCGUCUUUAAGUUGUUGCAAAUUCAUCCGUCUAUAGGUUAUUGAGGCUUUAUCCUCAUGUGGGACAUCAUUCAAUUGCCUAUCAAUUUGACACUCGACGACUCUUCUUGUUUGGCCUAGAAAACAAAAAGAACAAUGAAAAAAACAAAAGAUAAAAAAACGUAAAAAUAAAAGAAGAAGGAAGAAAUCACCUUGGCACUAGGGCUUCCUACUCGUAAAAAGUCAAAGUCAAACUGACAUGAGGAUAACGCUGGUUGAUAACGCAAUUAUUUUCUAAUCGAGAAUCUUGGCUAAUUGAAGUAAGAUAUUAACCAAAGUUUCGGACUUCCUGACUCAACUUUUUCUUGUAUAAAGAGCUACCACGAUCUUAUAUUAGCAUUACAAAUGAGUUAUUUUUUUUAGAAGUUUAGAGUUGAUGACGUCCGACUUUAAUGUUUCGUGAUACUUCAAUCCUUGUCUUCCAAGCUCAACAAGUCUAAAUUUCGUCAAGAUUUGAAAUAAGGGGUAUUUGUAGGCAUAAGAAUUUUAUUAAAAUUCAAUUUAUAAAAUAAUUUGGACUAUAUUUUAAAUUCAAGAUAUAUUGGCCCAAUAAAUAUUAUGGGCUAAUAUAUAAAUGAAUUAAUUAUAUAAGUUUAAUAUAUAUGGAUUAAAUAAAUAAGUCUAAAUCCAUUGGGCUAGCCUAUUCAAUUAGGCUAAUGUAAUGAGCCCACUUAAGCCCAAGAUGACUUCUUCCUAGAGGCCCAAUUUGGUGCCACGCGUGAAAUGACGUGGCGCGCCAAGUCAAUAGGAAGAGCCAAUAGGACCAUGCCACGUGUCAAAAUGACAAGGCAUGCCUAGUCACACUAAAAGGCCAAUUUAAUCGCGCCAUGUGUGCAAGUGACAUGUUCUGGCCAAUCAAAUGCGGCCAUGUCACCCUUCAAUUUGAUUGGUUGGAAAGAGUUUGUUCCUAUCACAACUCCUCCCUUCCCCAACUAUAAAUAGAUAACUCAAAAAAAAACACUAGAAGUUAUAACAAGAAGCAAGAAAGAGCUCGUGGAUCAAACGCUGUAAAUUCCUCCACAAGUUUCAAGCUUCAAGCUCAAUUUCAAGAAAUUAAGUUCAAGCUUGAGAACGAAGAAGAAAUCAAGUUCAAGCUCAAAAACGAAGAAUAAAUAAAGGUCAAUUUCAAGCAAUCAAGCUCAAACUCAAGGACACAAUUAUCAUUCGUGGAAACAAACAUAGAUUCAAGAUCAAGCUCAAAGGCCCUCGAAUUUAUUUACUAUUGAAAAUAAAAAUUAAAGGAUUCCUAGAGAUUGUAACACUCAAAUAUUUGAAAUGAAAUACUACGAUUCUUGCGAUAUUUUAGGUCUUGAUUUUAUUUUCUCGACACAAUUUUAUUGUCUACAGACCCGACCGAUUGUUUUGAGCUUUUGAACUUUGAUUACCAGUUUUCGGGUAUGGCUUGCCCCAUGUAAUAUGUUAUGACUGAUGUAGAUUGUUGGUUUUGGUUUUCACAAAAAUCGGUAUGAAUUUGAAAAAACAAUAUUAAUUAAAAGCUUUGAAUUUGAAAGGUUUGACCAAGAGUUGACUUAUAUGUGUAUGAGAUCGGAUCGGAAUUUUUAUGAUUUGAUUAGGGUUUUUGGGUGAUUUAUGACUCGGGAGUGUGAUUGAAAUUGGUUUUGGAGUUCCGAUGUAGAAUUAGACUUAUCAAUUCAGGGUUCUUCCAUUCCAGGUCCUUCUACUGGUCAUUCUAGUGCUAGGGGUUCUCUUCAGCCCCUAAUCCCCGAAUCAGGGAGUUGUUACGAGUAUGGAGAGUUUAGGCAUAUGAGUACAUAGUUUCCUCAUCUUCUUGAGGGUUUGUCUUAGCAGAUGAGUCAGCCCUUGACUUUAGCUCCAGUUACUUCACCACCCGCUCAGGUAGCUAGGGGUCGCCCUAGAUGGGGAGGUCGAUCAGGUGGUGGUCAGGCCCGAGAUCAGAUGAUAUUGCUUUAGAUGCUGUGAUUACAGGUAUUGUCUCAGUCUGCCAUAGAGAUGCCAAUGUAUUAUUUGAUCCUAGUUCCACUUUUGUAUUAUUUGAUCCUUCUUCCACUUUUUCGUAUGUGUUAUCAUAUUUUUCUCGUUAUUUGGAUACGCCUCGUAAGUCUCUUAUUUCAUUUGUUCAUGUACCUAUUUUUGUAGGCGAUACUAUUAUUGUGGAUCGUGUAUACUGAUCGUGUGUGGUGACUAUUGGUGGUCUGAAGACCCGAGUGGACCUUUUGUUGCUUUGUAUGGUGGACCUUGAUGUGAUAUUGGGCAUGGAUUGGCUAUCUCUAUGUCGUGCUAUAUUAGAUUGUCAUGCUAAGAUAGUGAAGUUGUCUAUGCCAGGUGUGCCGGAUUGAGUGGCGAGGUUCAACUAAUUUUGUCCCUAGUAGGGCGAUUUCGUUCUAGAAGGCCCAGCAGAAGGUUGGGAAAGGUUGUCUUUCAUACUUAGCCUUUGUGAUGGAUGUUAGUGCAGAGACUCCUAGUAUUGAUUUUGUUCCCAUAUCUAGGGAUCUUCCGGAAGUGUUUCCUGCAGACCCGUUGGGCACGCCACUGGACAGGGAUAUUGACUUUGGUAUUGAUUUGGUGCCGGACACUUGGCUUAUUUCUAUUCCGACAUAUCGUAUGGCACCAGCAGAAUUGAAGAAGCAACUUUAGAAACUCCUUAAUAAGGUUUUUAUUCGGCCCAGUGUGUCACCUUGGGGUGCACCUAUUUUAUUUAUGAAGAACAAGGAUCGCACAAUAAGGAUGUGCAUUGAUUACAGGCAGUUGUCAUGUUGGUACCUAAUUUUUUCCUACAUAUUUUAUACCCCAAAAAUACUUUCAAAAUAGCAUUCAUAUGGAUAUAUAAGCAUCCCCAAAGGUUUUAGUAUUUUUCCUAAUUUUUUAAGAUAUUUAGAAUUAAUUUAUUGUCUAUAUUAACAGUAUAAAACCUCAAUAAUUAUUUUCAAAUUGUCCUUUAGGUGAGUCAUUUAUUUUCCAUCGUUAUAAAUACACCAAAUGUAAUUAAGGUGAUAUUUGCAUAUUUUUAUAUAUUUAUUUGAUAUUUCUAAGCUAAAUUGUUCAAAAUUAUAAUUAUAGCCUAUGUUAUAAUUAAUCACGUCUUGUAACUAUAAAACUAUUCCAGAUAUUUUAGAUUAAUGUUUAUAUUUUAUCAACUGGUUUUUUGCUUUCAAUAUGUUUUAACCUUUGAUGGGUAUUGAUUUCAUACUACCAUUGUGUGAUUGAUUGAUUCUUUCCUUGUUUAAAUUGAACCUUCCUAUUCCCUUAUUUUCUGACUUGGUUCAUUAUUGAUUUCGAAUCUUUGAUUCCAUGAUUUACUAUGUACCAGUUGAUUUACUUCUUGCCUUAUUUACUUAAACCAUGUGUUUUAAACUUUCCCUUAUGUAUUUACCCCUUCUUUGCAUAUUGUGCAUGAUAUGCUACUUGAUUCCCUUUCCUUAAAUAACUUCUGUCCUUUACCAUUCAAAUUUGAACUUUUUAAUUAAAUGAAUUCCCUUCUACUGAUUGUUUUCUGAUUGUUACUCGAUUAUUUUCUUUCCUUGCUUACCUACCUGACUUCAAAUAUAAAUACAUGCUCCUCUCUUCACUCAUCCAUCGAAUUCUGACUCAUUAAUCAAUCAAUUUUCACUUCAAAAAUCAGAAUUCACGACACAUACAUCUCUAACUUGAAAUAUUUUUUACUACUCUCUACUACCAUUACCACUCUCUAUUUUUCUAUGCUACUAUUGAGCACUAUGCUCCUUCACCUCCUGCUUUCUGAACUCUUGUGGGAGCUUCUUGAGUUUGUUCCUGUUGACUGCCUUGUUGUUUGUUUGUUGUUGCUAUUCUACUAUUCUAAACUUGCAAUUGGUAUGUCUUCCUUGUUAAAUAGUACCUUUUUUAUGUGUUCAACCUCUCUUCUCCUACCCUUCUUUCGUUGUGUGUUUACUUAUGCUUUCCUGCACUAUGUGAUUACCUUCAAGCAUGUUAUUCCUCUUUAUGUUGUGCUUCUAACCCUUUCCCUCUAUUUUCUUUGUAUGUGAGUAUUGUCCUGAACCAUGGCAGCACUUUGAAUUGUUGUCUGUGAUCCAGAAUUAGACUCUUUCUGAGUUUUUACUCAAUUUCCUUUCCAUUCCCUCUCCCCUCUAUGUGUUGAGCUUUAAUUUGGGUCUGUUGAUGUCCUAAUCACCAUUCAGACCUGAGUUUGACUCUCUAAGAGUCUUCUCUUAUUUGAUUGAAUCUAAGCAAUGGGUCAGGGGUGUGCCAGUCUAUGCCAUGGCUGGGUAUGACCACCUCCUGUUGAGGUGCCUCCCUUACUUUGCACUUACUCCUAGUUCUUAAGCUCCCUAUGAACUUGGAUGCCAGAGAGCUGGUAAUUCCAAACAUUGCACUAUUCUAUUCCAAUAUUCACUCUUCAGAGUGUAAGCAUUUUCCGGGCUCUUGAAGCUCCUUGGAACUUUAAAACACUCUGAAUAAGAGAAAGCCUUGCAAUCUGGAACCCGGAUUUGGUAAAACACAUGUAUUGGAUAUUGAGAUUGCAUUAGGCAGUUUGGAUCUAGCUGUGGGCUAUGAUGUAUUUUGUUUAUUAUUUUUUCUUUUCUCUCUGUAAUAAUAACUCUGUAAAAGAACUUGGGGAGUAUAGUAGUAAAGGGUAUGGGAGGGGUCUUUAGUUGUUUGCAUGUUAAUGGGUAGCAUUUAUUUUUUUUACUUUUGGCUCUAUAAUAAUAACUUUGUAAAAAGAACUUGGGGAGUAUAGUAGUAAAGGGUAUGGGAGGGGUUUUAGUUUCUUGCAUAUGUUAAAGGGUAGAUAUCAUGCCUAUAGGAUUUUAAUACUUUGAAUAACCUAGAUAUCAUGCCUAUGGGAUUUUAAUACUUUGAAUCACCUAGAUAUCAUGCCUACAGGGUUUUAAUACUUUGAAUCACCUAGAUUGCCUACAGGAUUUUAAUACUUUGAAUCACUUAGAUAUGAUGCCUAUAGGUCUAAAAUGUUUAAAUCACCUGGAGAUCAUGUCUAUAUGCAUGCAUUCUUGUUCAUUCAAGCAUAUAGAAAUCAUGCCUAUAGAAUUGCAUAAAAUAUAGGCAAACAAUAGGGUAAUACAAUAUUCGCCUACCUUAAACGUUUAAAAUAGCAAUGAGCCAAUAAAACCAAUGUAGAUAUCCUACCUAUAGCAUCUUAAAGUUCUCUUACGUUGUAUAAGUAGUGAUCUGGCAACUAUUUAAAACGUUUUCAACAUAUUCGUCCAAACCUGUCUGCAAUUUUCCAAUUUUUUCUGAAUUUUAUUCAUGAAGUUACUUUCAAGAUAGCUUUAAAACUCUCGCUUCCUUUUAUAAGCACUCUACUUCUGAAAACUCUACUGUACAACUCCUUAAACAGUUCUAUCGAUUUUUAAAACCCUUCUAAACAUUUACAAGUUUCUACUUCUGUUUCCCAACUUUUCUAUAUUAGGUCCUUAAUUAAUAAUUCGUUAAAAUGCUCCAAAUCCUAAAAAUUGGAUCUAAUUUGACUAAUGUAGACAUUUUAUCUAAUUCUAUGUGUUAAACUGGUUUGUCCGCCGCUUAAAUUUAAGACCAAACCAGUAUGUGUAAGACAUGUUCAACUAUAUGUUAUCUAUUUUAAGGGGUUUCAUUGAGCCUUGGUUUAUCUUCUUGUCCCUUCCCCUACUUGAUAUUUGUUUUGUAUGACGAACUAGUAUUUUAUCCUUUAAACCCCAUAUAUGUCUCUAUCCCCUUUCUUUCCCCUUUUAGGAUUAGGAGUCCUAAUGCCCCGGGACUGACAGGUUGGGACGGGUACUAGCAUGCAAUAACAAAAAUGAGACCAAUCUCGUUUAAACACCUUAACGGGGUGGGAAGGGUAGAAUAUGGAUAUGAUGACUGGUGCGUAUCUCGUGUGAGAAUGAUUGCUGGGUAUUGCACCAAAGUGAUCCAUAUUAUAUUUAAACCUAGGACCCCUUUUCUCCUUUAUUUAUUGAUGUUUUAUCUUAGAUUAUCUUUUCCUUCAACUAAGCUUUCUCUUUUAAAAUAACUUGUGUCUUUCUUCUUUCAAAAUUUUCAACUCUUUCAAGUUUCCUAUGUGCAAACUUUGCUUGUUUAUCCUCAUUCUUCUUAAAGUCACAAUUAAGCACGACCGGGAACCACACUAGUGGAUCUUGAGGGGUGCCUAACACCUUCCCCUCGAGAUAAUCUCAAGCCCUUAUCCGAACUCUAGUUUUUUCUGUCAAAAUCUCUUUAUUUUCUGUAAGUGUCCUAAUGAGCUAUAAUCAUUAGGUGGCGACUCUCCAAAAUCUAUUACCCGAUUCCUCGAAAGGGAAUAAAAGAGUUAUUUUGUCCAUAAUGUCGAAACCCGCUUUCGCGAGAAAAUAGGGGCGUCGACAGCAUGGCGAAUCUGCUGGGGAUUUCUUUAAGGCUUUUACCAUUACGUGCUUUUUUGACUUUAUUGCUUCCUUAAUUGCAUUUACCUCCUGUCUUAAAUUGUUUCAUCAAGAAUACUAACUUGGCUCUUCAUGUUUUUUGUUCCUGUUAAUGUCUUCUUUUAUUGCCUUAUUAUUUCAAUUCUGUUUUAAUUUCCGAGCAUUUAUUGUAAUCUUUAUGAACGUAAAUAAACAUGCAAUUUUCUUCAUUAUUGUAACUGUAUUUCUCAACAUCAUAUUCCACUCGUACCAAAACAAAUCCUAUAGCAACGCUUAUAAUGAGUGGUUGCGACUUCUAAUAUUACAAACUCCAUAAAUGUGGAAAAGGCAUAUUUGCGGUAAAACCAGUCGAUCAACGGUGUAGUCGACGGUUCGGCGUCUUUCCCUCUUGAGUUGUCCGCUCAAGGGUACCUUUUCUUGCACUUCAAAAGUACAAACUUUGUUCCAUUAAACUAUUCAUGCAUCAUGGUCAACCCUAGCCGAGUCAGUUGUGUUGUCUACAUAAUGACUCCUUAAGAUACCUAAACCAAAGUCCACCAUGUUUCCUCGAAACCCAAACAUACACCUUCAUGUUAUCUGCAUUUAUUUGGAGAACAAAAUGCCUUUUGGCUAUUUAUUGAUUUAAAUAGUCGAGUCCGGCACGGUUAAGACUCUAACACUUUGUUUUGCAUAAAAUGAGGCAGGAAGCUCCCAUAAUCAGUAUGGUAUCCAACAUUCACCCAAGGUUGCUAAGCUGGUGGGAAGAUCUUCACGCCAGCGAUCAAACCCUUGUCCGCAAGUACUUAGGGAAUUUGCCCUCACUUCUGGAAAUCCAGCCUAACAACAAAAUCAUAGUGGCUGCACUUUGUUUUGGAUAGUGAUCGAUCAGUGUUCCGCUUCAGAGAUUUGGAAAUGACCCCUUUGCUAAAAGAGAUAGGGGGUCUAGCUAGUAUCCCUUGGGAGACUCCAGGUUUGCAUAUGGCGAAAAGCCACAAAAGUAGAGGCUUUUUUAAGAUGAUGGGACUCAAGAAAAAUACCGACCUAUCUUGCCUGAAGGACUCACAACUCUGUUCUGUGAUAGUGAUCGAUCGGUUUUUUGCUUUGGGGAUUUCGAAAUGACUCCGUUACUGGAAGAAAUAGGAGAUUUAGCUGGUAUCCCUUGGGAGACUCCGGGUCUGCUUAUGCCAGAAAACCGCAAAAGUAGAGCCUUUUUUAAGAUGAUGGGACUCAAGAAAUCCCGGCCUAUCUUGCCUGAAGGACUCCUACAUACCAUUUGAUUUCUUGUAUGAGACGUAUGGCCAUAGUAAGUCCUAUCGCACCUACACCGACGAGUUCGCCCUCACCUCGUUGGGGCACAUACAUAUGAGGGCCUUUGUGUUCAUGUUUUGCUUCUUGUGUAAGAUAAUAUUUCCCAUGAAGAAGGCUAGGAUCCACACCGGACUAGCCAUGGUGACCAAAACCUUAAUGGAAGGUAUUGAUUGACAGACUUUCAGCAUAGUGCCCAUUAUCAUUGCUGAGAUGUAUCGAGCCUUGGGAAAAUAUCAAUAGAGGGCUCCACAUUUUGAAGGUUGUAAUUUGUUACUACAACUUUGGCUCAUAGAACACCUUCAGAAAGGCGACUAGAGAUAGGAAAUCAUACGUAGGGAUUGGGAUGACCAUAUCCCUUUUCACCACCCAAUGUGAAUGAAAUUCAUGACCAAUAUGUUUUCUCAGCUGGAGGACGCCAGUGGAUGGGUAGAGUUGUUUGAAAAUCUAAAGGAAGAGUAAGUUUAGUAAAUGUUCGAGUGGUUCCCAACAGGGGAGUUCAUUGUAUGUUCUCGAGAUAUUCCAUUUCUCGUGCUCAUCGGUCUAAGGGGAACUCAUCCUUAUAUCCCUCUCCGGGUCAUGAGGCAAGCUGGAAGAAAACAUAUCAUACCCAGGAUAGAGAAAAUGAGUCAUUUCAAGGCUGAGUUUCAAUAUGAUGAUAGCCUACAGAAGUGUCACGCUCAGUGGCACUGCAAGCUUGUCUUAAGGAAUGAGUCUCUUGAACCAGAAAGGUAUCAUGCCGGGUGUGUACCUCACUACACGAGUUGGUUGGAAGAUGAUCACAUUGGUUUGGGUCGUCCAGGAUUCGUCCAUGUCAUAGUAUUAUUGAUGAGAAAACAGAAGCGCAAGUCAAAUACAAUCAGCUGCGCAAGAGGAUGCGAGAAUGUGAGAGUGAACAUUGGGAAUUACGGGAAGCCAACGAGAAGCUGAUCAACGAGUGGAAGGAUAUGGCUAUCAAUGCCAACAACCGGCUGGGGUAUCUGGAGUGAGGUCUAGUGGAGUUGGAAGGGAAGUUCUUGAAAAGAAUUAAAGAUUUUUAGAAUACCGAGGGAAGUGCAGGCGGACAUCUAGCUCGAGCCUAUCUGCUGUUAGGAAUGCGCGAUUUAAUGCAGCUGUACGAGGGAGGCAAGAGUACCAAAUCUGGGGAAGGUCCAUCUGGGACCAAGUAGUUAGGAUCCUUUAUUUUUUUUCUUUCAUAAUGAAAUAAGGCCACUGGCCAUUAGCGACAUCUUUUAUCAUUAAGUUGUUUUAAGACUCGUCUUGUUUUAUCAAAAAAAUGAGGCAUUUAGCAUUAUAAGUUCUCCAAAUUUAAUUUUUCGCUAGGCCUACCUCGGGAACAAUGAGGCACCAAAUUAGGAAACGACUUACACUGUUGCACAACGUGGUUAAAUACUGCAAUAUUAUUUUUCAGAAUCCACACUAACUUUUUACCUUUUUAUUUUUCUUUUAUUUUUAUUCCCCUCCCUAAAGGUUAGCUCGUGCAUUCUGGCACCAUCAGUAUACUUAACAAGAUCCAAGGGUCCUCCACCUCCUCCUCCCCCGAGUCCUACCAGAAACAGAAACAAAGGCAAAAUGGGAUAUGCAAGUGCUAGAAAGGAACUAGAGGAAACAUCUCAGAAUGAUGCAAUUACCAAGAAGACUGUUGCUCAUCUUGAGAAAACUUUGUUGAGACUUCGGGAGGAAUUGGACCAAGUUCGGAACCUGGCAAGCCCGUCAAUCACUCUUGCUACUCCUGAUGUUAACACCCAGAACCCUAUAUCUCCACAAAAUACCCCGAAACCACCAAUACAACCCAUUCAUCCCCAAGCCUGCAACACAUGCAACACACUCCACUGCUCAUUCCCGAACCACAAAAGACCAUAACGCUCCUAUCUUUGUGGAUACUAUACCCCACUACACUCACCCAAUCACAAGUGCACGCGAAUCAGAUGACAAGGGCUCCCUCAUUCAAAAUUUGGCCGCUGAACUCAAGAAGUUGACUAGCUGGGUCCAAGGUUUCGAAGGUAGAAAAGGUAUUGAAGGGUUGAACUAUGAAGAUCUUUGUGUUCAGCCAAAUGUUGAACUCCCGGAGGGGUACAAACCUCGCAAGUUUGAGAUAUUCGACGGUACAGGUGAUCCUAUGGUCAACCUGAGAAUGUAUUGUGAUAAGUUGGUAGGAGUUGGAAGGGACGAGAAAAUCCGCAUGAAGCUGUUCAUUAGGAGUCUAAAUGGCGAUGCGUUAUUAGGGCAUAUCAUCCAGGAUGCAAAUAAAUGGACAAGUUGGGUGAACACGGCAUCUUACUUUAUAGACCAAUUUAGGUUCAACACUGAGAAUGCACCAUAUGUGUUCUAUAUCCAGAAUCUAAAGAAGAAACCCACAGAGACCUUUCGUGAGUAUGCUACUCGUUGGAGGUUAGAAGAUACUAAGGUCAGGCCGGCCUUGGAGAAAGAAUAGAUGAACAGGUUCUUCGUCCGUGCUCAGGAUACGUACUACUAUGAAAGGCUGAUGCUAAUAGAAGGUCAAAAGUUCUCCGACAUCAUCAAGUUGGGAUAAAGAAUCGAAGAAGGCAUCAAAAAGGGUAUGGUCACUAACCUCGAGGCAUUUCAAGCUACCAAGAAGGCUUUAAAGUCUGGUGGCUUUUCAAAGAUAAAGGAUGUAAGUUCUGCAAUAGCUGCGCAGAGGAACAAUUCCCCUAUAAAGUACUAGACCUAUCCCUCAACUCCACCCACAUAUCAACCUACCAUAAAUUACCAAGCACCCUCACCCACAUAUCAAAUGCCACCAUCUGCUUACCAAUCACCUCCACCGCCCACAUAUCAACCCACUUCGCCGAGAUAUUCCUAACAUGCGCCUAUGUACCAAGCAUCGACUCCCAACCUCCUCAUUACCCAUCAUCACCCGCUUGCCAAAACGUUCCUCAACCCAGACCAAUUUUCGACCGAAGACCUCCCGGACAAUAUACCGCCAUAGCCGAUCCAAUUGACCAAUUAUAUGAAAAACUCAAAGCAGCCGGUUACAUUUCACCUAUCCCAGCUGUAUCUCCGGAAAAUCCUUCACAGUGGAUCAACCCUAACAAAACCUGCGCAUACCAUUCCCGAAAAAAAAGGACAUACCAUCGAUGAGUGCCACUCAUUGAAAGACAAGAGUCAAACUUUGAUUGAUAACAAGGUCAUUAUAGCAAAGAAGUCCACUCCCAAUGUUCGCAACAACCCUCUACCUGAUCACAAGGGUGGAGGCAUCAAUAUGAUCGAGGUUGAAGAUGAUUGGAACCCCAAGGGGUCAAUUGGUUUGAUAGCUGAAGGAGAUGAACCUAAGAAGCUAGCAGUUACCCUCAA
rnacentral:lncRNA from 1 species